rnacentral:lncRNA from 1 species
UUCCCAUACUCUUGCAUCAACCAAAUGGAACAACUUCCACUCCAAACACGCCUAUCGUAAUGAAGAACAGCAACUGAAUCCUUGCAAGCCAAUGUGCACAAAUCUACAGGAGACUCAUCAACCAAAGCAUCAGGCAACAGCAAUUCCUCAAAAACCUCGGUACUCAAAUCAAACAACAUGAUCAAAUUUUCCUUCCCAUUCUCCCUCUCCAUAUUCAUCCUAUAUGCAGUCCAAUGUACCUUCCCUCUCACAAAUGCUUGAGUCCAAAAGUACUCAACAACCCAAUUUUCAGGUACAUCAACAUCAAUCUCCCUCCAAUUCCCUACACUUAGUGCAAAAAUCUCAACUUUCGGAGGCAAGUUAUACCCAUUACUUCCCUGAACAUAGGCAAUUCUUACAACCUUAAAAUCAUUGUUUUUCACAUCAAAUCCAAAUCCAAGCACAAACAUAAAAGGCCCCAACUUAUCAAAAACAGCUUGGGGCGAAGGUAGAGUGAAUUUCCGUCUGAUCAGAGGGUUCCAAAACAUAAUAAGAUUUGUGUAUCCAAAUAGAUCAUCAGACAGACACAGCAAACCAUUGCUAAAACCAACAAUCCUGAAAUAAUAACGCGAUAAACCGCGAAGAGGGAAGCCUAUUUUAAUCCCAUUUUCCACAGCGAAUGCUUCAUUGUCAUAGUAUACUGUGUAAACUUCAGUCUUUUGAUCUUUAGAAUAGUGCCGAACUAGCAAUUUGUCAUCUGGUGUAGAGGGUUUUGUGAGGAAAGCUUGAUGGUUAUACAGAGAGAUAAAAUAAGCGCUAGAUAUUAAAGAAUUCCAUGAUUUUGAUACGCACCUCAAUCUUAGGAGAGAUUUUACAGGAACCCUUAUGAGGAUUUGGGUCAUAACCUCUUGAGGGAUGUAAUCUGACAUUUUUAAUUGGGCAUUUGUGAGUUAAAAGGGGGGAAUAAAGGGACUAAAAAUGACUGAUGAGUGAAGGCAAGACUUAUUGAGAAUGGAAUGAAAGAGUGCAUUUUCAGGCUUUUUAUGUGAUUUUGGGGAAUAGCCGAGUCAUGGCUGCCUUGCUUCUUCCUCGAUUAUGCAAUUUUCUUUUGAGAAAUAGACAGAUGAACAAGAGGAUUUCAGUUUGGGAUGAAGACAUCGAAGAAGGCAAGUGGAGCUGAGUCGGAGUUUCGUAGGCAAAGAGAUCGGCCUCUUGGCUUAGAUCAAGUGUGGAGACUGUUUUGUUAAUAUGUCCAGCGAUGAUUAUGUGAAUGUGAAGGCCUAAUUUGACAAGUACAGCAAAGUACAAAAUACCUCAUUAAUCGUAAUUAAUCAGUCCAGCCUUUAUAUUGUUGUUUCUAGAACAUUAUUAUCGUUUCUAGAAUUAAAUCUACAAUUGGGCAUAGGGGGUGCAUCAAUUAGAAAGUCUGAAUUCAGAAAAUUCGGUAAAUUGAAUUUGGUAAAUUUCAACCUAUUUCGUUUUUGAAUUCAAAAGUUCCAAAUUUAAUUUCUCUCGAAAUUCAAUUCGGAAUUCAUUAUUCUAUUUAAUUCAUAUUAAAAAAAUGAUUUGGAAUUUAUUGAAAAAAAAAACUAACCUAAAUGAGUCAGGUAUUACACUAUUAUUAUUAUAUAAUAUAAUGACUUACGUAUAUUAUAGCGACAUAGAUUAAUCAGUUUGAGGUAUUAUACUAUUAUUAUUAUAUAAUAUAAUGACUUAUAUAUAUAUAUAUAUAUUAUUGUAUAUACGAAAUUGAAAUUGAAUUAGGUAGUUGAAUUCUGAUUUCGAUUUGUGAGUUCGAAAUUGAAAUUUUCGCUUUUAAGAAGCAUGGUCUCAAAUUCGCCAUUUUCGAAUGCGAAAUCUCCACAUUCCUUUCUUUUUUCUGAAUUUUCGAUUUCAAAAUUCCAAAUUCAAAUUGAAUUAGAUCCAAAAAUUGAAAUUUUUUGGAUUUGCACACCCCUAAUUGGGCAGCAAAGGACAAUAAAAAGUCCAAGGAAUAUAAACAAGAAAAGGCACAUCAUUCUUCAAAUAUUUUUUAGUGCUAAAUCAUUCUAAAAGUAACACACGUUAUGAGAUAAGAUCAAAUUAUAGCAUAUGUUAGAGUAGUUAUAGUUGUCCAGCUUGACAAUAUAUCACUUUUGCCUGAUAAGACUCUUAAUGGAUUCUAUACAUUAUUUUUGGCCUUUUGUAGACUCUUAAUGAAUUUUCACGAUUUUGAUUGAUUAUUUCGCACAUAAUAAAGUUAGAAAACAAAAAUUAUACUGUAAUGUCAUAUUUCUCCUCUUUAAGUGGUCUUGAUAAGAGUCCUAAACUUCCCUCCUCACAUCCAACAAAAAAAAAAUUUUGAUAAUUAUAUUAGGGAGUUGUAAACUUUCGCCUUCCCAUCCAAAAAAAAAAAAAAAAAAAGACUUUUGAUAAUGUAUAUUAGGGGCGUAAGCGGGUUGGGUACCUCGCUAAUGCAACCUUUCUUUCCAUUUGUUUCAAUUAGAUCUUUUUUAUGUUUAUCUUUAAAAUCAAAAUCCAUUCCUUAAGCUAUUAAGUACUUGCCAAAAAUCCAUCCAAAAAAGUCUUCCUUUUUUUUUUUUUUUUUUUUUUUUAAUCUUUUCUUACCAUUUGUUUCACCCAUAAGCUAUUAAGUUAUUGUGUGCUGUCAAUAAAAGGAUUAUCAGGUCAGGACUUGUAUCAAUUUACAGCGCAAUUGGCAAACAAAUCCGUUGUCGUCCAGCGGUUAGGAUAUCUGGCUUUCACCCAGGAGACCCGGGUUCGAUUCCCGGCAACGGAAAAUCAAUUUUUCAUUUUUCCCGGACUGAGUUACCUCAAACAACUACAGAAAAAGCCCUGCCAUCGCUUGCUGCUGUUCCCAGAUUCUGCUUCCCCGUGCUCAGAUUGCCUUUCAACGCUUUUAAUUGCACAAUUAACUAUUAUCUGGUACAUUUUUAUGCGAUGAAAAACCUGUUCUUUUCCUUUCUGUUUAAAUUCAUUUAUUUUACUCAAUCAGCCUCUCUUACUGCUAUUCUUGUUUCUUGAUUCUCCAAUUUUAAUAUCUAUGUGUGUGUUAUCUAAUGAGUAAAGUUUGAGCUUCAAGAGAAAAAGGUUCUGUUACGGGGGAUUGGGAUGGCUUUUUUUUUUUAAUGGAUUUUUGGCCUUGUUGAGAAAUGCACAAGUUCUUAUCAAUUUGAUUAAUAGAAUCAAAUUUGGAACGUCUUUAGAUUGAAUGGCUGAAAUGCAUAAGAGUGACAUAAUAACUUACUGGUUAUGCAGGCUGAGAUUUUUGAAGGUGAAUUUGCAUUUUGCUGCAAUACAAAUGCAGAUAAUUCAAGUGGACAGUGUUUUGGCAAAAAAAGUAAUAAUAAAAAAAGUUGGGAGCUUUUGUACAGCCUCACCAAGUAUAUAAAAGAAAUUUCAGUUAGUUUAUAAAGUACAAAUCUUGUUGGUUAACUACAAAGAAUAAAAGGGGUUGGAUGAACUUGAAACUGGAUCUACUGUUAGCUCUUCACAGGAUGGAGAUUUGGUUGUACACGUUGGAAUGUUUAUUCAUUAGGUGGCGGCGGAGGCUUUUUUCCGUCUUUUGCCCUUCAGUGCCUUGGUUCUUAGAUUUAUUAUGAUAUUCCUGCAUUCUUGAUUGUACUGUGCUUGCUCAGCAGAAAAUGAUAUUGCAGAUAGCUUCAUUUUGAGCUGAGCUUUAUAAGUAACCACUAUGAUUUGAUCAAUCAUUUAUUAGACUAGAAAAAGUUCUAGCCUUUUAGUAACCUUAUGCUUUCGUAGUUUGGGAUUGGUUUCGAAUGAAUGCAAUGCGUUUAAGAUUUGCGGAUAUAGAUUUUAAGGCUAGUUGACUUUGUCAACAGAAUUAAUCAGACAUUUUUUGUGUUGACAUGGGAUGUGACCAUGAUAAUGUUACAUUCCAGCUAAGUUGCAUUAAUCAUCGUUGUUCUAGUGCAUAGAUCAUGCUAGAAAUGCUAAUGAAAUAUUAGUCCGUUUGCAAAGUGCAAAUUGAUAUCUUAAUCCUCAAGUAAACGAUCCUUGUCUCCUGCAUUUGCUCAAAUUGUCUAAUAUAAUGUGUGAAUGCAGAGGAAAGCUUUCAAUGGAGAGCUCUGAUGAUGGAAAGAAUGGUCCUCUGGAUGCCAAGGAGCAUUCUCUAACAUCUGAUGGCAAAAAAUCCAUAGACGAAGUUCUUAAUGGUCCAAAUGGCCUUUGCUCGUAGAACUUGCACAUGGAUAGGCACAUGUUUUAUGUAUUGUGUGACAUGUUACAAGCCAGAGGCCUCUUAUGUCACACAAUUAGAAUAAAGAUUGAGGAGCAGGCAGUGAUUGAUCAUGUUUAUAGUUGGGCACAGGAUAUGUACUCGAGCAGUUCAAGAGCUAUUUGGAUACUCAGGCGAAACCAUUAGCUGCCAUUUCAACAAUGUUCUAACGACAAUUAUGGCAAUUUCACGGGAUGUUUUUCCACCUCCUAGGCCUGAUGUUCCACCAGAAUUUGUGAAGAUCCUCAAUUUAUCCUCAUUUUCAGGUAACCUGAAAAUAAUACUCUGAUUUUUUGUAGUCUUUCUUAUUUGUCCUUGAAGUAUUUUUUGUCUUAAAAGUUACUGUUUAUCAAGUAGAAUUGUGUGGGAGCAGUUGACAGUAUAUAUUUGCCUGUGCAGUAGGAUUGGAUGAGCAAGUUCCUUUCUGGAACAAGAGCGGUUUUCUUUCACAAAAUGUACGGGCUGUAUGCUCCUUCAGUAUGAAAUUUCACUAUGUUCUAGCUGGUUGGGAAGGUUCAGCACCUGAUAUACAAGUUUUAGGUUCUGCUGUCACAAAAGGUAACAUAUUGCAAGUCCCCGAUGGUACAUCAUCUUUAUAGGAACUGAAACUGAGCUAGCGGAAACGGUUUCACGCACACUGAAUUACCAUUUGGUGAGAACGUUCUGGAUGACUCAGUAUUCUCCCUUGAGUUCUUCACUUCUGAGUUUUUUAUCACCUUCAAUCUUAACAACAGCAUGUUAAAAGUCCCAUCUAAUGUUUGUCUUUCAAAACUUCGUUCCUUGUAUAUCUCUGCUGUUGAGUUGAAGAAUGAUGCCUUUAUAACCUCUAAUAGCCGACAAGGAAUCAUCUUUAACUUGCCUGUCCUUGAAGAGCUUCGGUUUAAUUAUUGUACAUGAUGGAAUUUGAUGAUACUUCCAAAAGAUGCUCCUUUACUCAAAAGAUUCGAAAUGAUUGGCCCCCCUUAUAGAUCUGGAAAUGGUGCAAUGUAUGAAGGCGUUAAAGUAGAGAUUUGUGGAGGCAACCUUGCUGAUGUUAAAUGUUCAGUUUUUUUCUUUGAGGAGUGUUUUCUCCAACCGAUUGACUCUUGUUAAUGCUUGUUUCAAGUAUGAUGCUUCUAUUAUGCAUUAUGAUGAUCAUUGGAGGAGAAAGAUGGUGUUGUGAGCUUGUGCACUUUUAGGUGGAUUCUCUAUCACGGGAUGCCUUGAGCUAUCUGGUGACUUCCUCGUGGUACACAAGUUUCUUUCUACAAGUUAAUAUUGUUAAUAGUAGUAAUUUUGCAUUUACAACUGUUGUUUGUACACUUAGAUAAUGUCUGCUUAUUUUUUUUAUCCCCUCAUUUCCUGCUUCAGUCUUGUUAUGUUUUGGUUAUGAUUUGUUUUGCUAUUGUUCAAGACUUUGCUCUUCUUGCUUUUCCUUUAUUCAUUCGUCGUUUUGUCUGUUGCUACUGUCAAUGUGUUAAUUUGCUAGCUAGUAAUUACAAAAUUUGCUUACUGAAGAAGUUGUUCAAUUGUAUAUAUGACCUCAAUGUACUCAGCUACUAUAAGAAACUAAGGAAGGAAACAGCUAAUCUUCUUGGCCAGUAUGUAUUGGUAGCCCAUUAAUUUAAGACACGGUAUUGAGCAGGUAUGAAGGUGAAAACCCGAUAUUUCUCUUUGAUUGAGUGCACCCGGGACUUGAUAUUUAGUUGUUGAUGGAAACUAAGCGUUGUAAUCUAGAAUAAAAGGUACAUAACCAUCAAGUUUGAAGUAACUUGGGAUGCGUAUGCAGUCAAUAACAAUAGGUUGAUGGAGAGAUUUUUCAUGGCUUGUAAUAACUUGAAUUGUCUUGGCAAUUUUGGUUGUCUUCCUGCGCUGAAUUCUGAAUUAUCUUGCUGAACAUUGGCACAUUGCCCUCUUAUUGAAUCCAUCAAUUCUUCCCAAGUUGCUGUCCUAGGCGGAACCAUUAGGUCCUCUUCCAGUCUUUGAUAAGCUUAACUGCCUCAAAGUGUCAGCAGUGAGCGGUGCCAAGUGUGACAAGCCAUUGGUGAACUUGCUCAAAAGGGCACCAUAGCUGGAAUCUCUGAUCAUUUCUUCGGUAAGUAUUGAAGUUAUUUCUGAUCCCCCUAAAUUCACCAAAGGCUUUAGAAAUCAGUCUAUAUUGGGAUGUUUCUUGUCCAAAAAAAUGAUAAAAUUUUAGGAAAGCAGUCGAGUCAAAAUGUAAUUAACUACUGAUUACGUCAUUAAUCCACCUUGAUCUUGGAAAUUCUAAUAGACUAGUACCCGAGCUCCAUGGAACUUGUCAAUUGUAUACAAGCUCAGCCAGAUGAUUAUGUACCAGAAGUCAAUUGAAUCCAUUAAUCCAAGCUUGAGCUCCACUAAGCUAAUUCAUGAAAAGGCUGGAGUUGUCUCUUAAGUAUGCAAGCAUCAAGUCUAAUCAAGCUACGUUACUCAAAACUGCAGCUGCUUUGGAAAAUCAACUCCCAUACAAGAGUCUUCAUUCAAAACAAAAUGGUACCAAAAAAGAAAGAAAGAAAGGAUAAUGAAAGAAAGUGGAUUGGGAAGGGCAGUUCAAAGAAAGUGAAAACGAAGACAAAAAGGUUUCACCCAUCUCAGCAAGUGCUGCACAAACAUCAGCUCCCCAGCAGACAUUUACACAAAAGGAUCCUGCAAUGAAACAGGAUGGGGUCAAGGUCAUGGCAGUCCACAUUGCAAUUAUGAAGUAGAGACAAGAUAUCUAUCUAGACAUUUUUUCCCAAUUCACAGUAUUUAGAGAUAAAGCCCAGUUCCAAGCCAUCCCUUUAGAGUUGUCUCCUACAUGGUUAAACACCUGCAGAAGCCAAUACUACAAUGCCUUGGAUGCAUCAUUUUGCUGACCAGAUAGAAUGAGGUUCACUGAAUUCAUAAAACAGAUGCAUAAAUAUCAUUCAGGUGAAAAAUACAACAAAGUUUCCUUCAAAUUUCGCUAUAGUUAAAAUAACGUCUCCUCUCAAACUUCAGAUAAACCCUCCGUACAACUUUGACACCAGUCACCAAUUCAUUUGGCAUUCCUAAAUUACAACCAGGCAUAACCAAAAGGAGCAGGUCAUUUAAAUUAACGUCUACGAAGAACACAGUACACAUCAUUUUGGAUCCACGAUAGAGUCAGUCGACGUAGUUUUAGAAACUAACAGCAAAUCCUAAAAUAAAAACUCAGGAGAAGUAGUUCUAGUUUUGCUAAAUUUACCAUUGCUAAAUGGUCUGUGAAAAAAUCCUUUUCGGGUUCAUCAAAUGGUUAGUCAGGUCUUUCCCUUGAUAUCCAGCUGUUUAGCAGCCCUGGAUUGGAUGAUAAAGAAGUUGUGAAGCAUACAAAAAGGAAGUUGAUCGAGUUUGCAAGCAAGCAGAAAUUCCAAAAGACAUGAAUGCCCAAGGAUAGAUACAAAAAUCAGUCUAAAAUCAUGUAGAAGCUAUUCAAAUUCAAAUAUAUCAGCAGUUGAACAUUUACCUGCAUCAUUGUUGUUUGUUCAAGCAGAGCUUUCAGAAACUCAACCAUCAUGGACUGCUUCCAGAGCUCAUUGGCUUCAACUCUAUCAUCCUCUCCUUCAUUUUCAUCUCCAGAAGAAUCAGAUUCGGCCACAUUUGGCAGACCUUCCAGUACUUGUUCACCAUCAAUCAGCAAAGCUAGGCUCUCUGUAUACCUAUCCACAAAAAAUGAAUCUUUGGUACCCAGAAUUCCAAUGUACUUAAUUUCUUGAAUCCUUGGGUUUGGAUCAUAUGAAUACAAGUCUCCAUCUCUUGCUGUCAACAAUAUAGUACCAUCCUUCCUAAAACUCAAUAUCCUCCCCAGUCCUCCUUCAAAAUCUACUGUGUACAUUUUGCUCCAAGACUUUACAUCACCAUAUGUUUGCAUCAACCAAAUGGUACAGCAUCCAGUCUCAACAUGCUUAUCAUAAUGAAGAACAGCAAUUGAAUCUUUGCAAACAGAAGUACACAAAUUUAUGGGACACUCAACAACCAAAGCAUCAGGCAACAACAAUUCCUCAAACACCUCGUUACUCAAAUCAAAUGCCAUGAUCAAAUUCUCCGUCCUAUACUCCUCCACAUUCAACCUAUAAGCAACCCAAUGCACCUUUCCAUUAACAUAAGCCUGAGUCCAGAAGUGCUCAAUGAUCCAAUUUUGAGGCAAAUUAACUUCAAUCUCCCUCCAAUUACCUGCGCUUAGUGCGAAAACUUCAACUAUUGGAGGCAAGUUAUACCCACUGUCUGACUGAUCAUAAGCAAUUCUUACAACCUUAAAAUCAUUACUUUUCAAGUCAUAUCCAAAUCCAAGCACAAACAUAAAGGGCCCUAAGUUCUUGUAAAUAGCUCGGGGCAAAGGAAGAGUGAUUUUCCGCCUGAUCAAAGGGUUCCACAGCAUAAUAACAUUUGUGUAUCCAAAAAUGUCAUCAGACAAACACAAUAACCCAUUGGAGAAACCCACAAUCCUAAAAUAAAACUGAGCUAAACGGCGAAAAGGGAAGUCUAUUUUGACACCACUUGCCACAGUGAAAUCUUCAUUGUCGUGGUGUACAGAGUAAAGUUCAGUCCUUUGGGGUUUGGAAUAGUGCCUGACAAGCACUCUAUCAUCUGGGACGGCGGGUUCUGAGAGAAAAGCUUGACGGGUAUGCAGGGAAAUGAAAUCAGAGCUGGAGAUUAAAGAUUUCCAUGAUUUGGAUACGCACCUGAAUCUUAGGAGAGACUUUGCAGGUACCCUUGCGAGGAUACGGGUUACAACUUCUUCAGGCAUGUAAUCGGACAUUUUUUCAAGGCAUGUAGUCGAGCAAAAUGUUCUGAGUAGGAUAGUCGUAGUAGUGUGGAGUUUUCUAGUAAGAACCUGGGCAAUUAGAAAGGAACUGUAGAUAUCAUCGUCAAAUACACUCGCGACAAAUGCGCGGGUGAAUAAGGGUCAGAGAAAAUAAGAGCCUCUCCCCCAUGGCUCGUGGCUGAGUUGAGUUGGUUAUGUUUCAAGAAAACGGAAUGAUUUUUUUUCCCUUUUUGUUUUAAUUUUUCUUUUCAAGAUUAGUAAGUGAUUUAAGGAGGAUGCUUUCUUGGCUAGAUUUUAGUUAGGGCAGGAUCGUUUAAAAAAAAAAAGAGAUGAUAUUGGUAGUUCCAAAAAAAAAAAAUUUUCCAAGCGCCCCAUCCUUCAUUUUUGGUUAAUUAAAUGACAAAAAAAUUGUUUGUAAAUUGUCCAGUGUGCAUUUCUCGGUAACUCGUAUUAUUUUAUCUCUUUGAUUUUUUUUCAAAUUUUUUAUUUUAUCUCUUACAUCUGCCCUAAAUUGCUGUAGUAUUAAGAAUGGAGAAAAUUUUUUAUAACAAUGACUGAAUAAAUGUUGUUUGAGUAUGAAUUGUUUAGUAAUUCUUGAUUAAAGUACAAGCCUUCGUAGUUGAGAGCUGUCUGUAAUUUUUGACAUGUUCAUUUGUUAGGUGGAACUUUGCAAAUUUAACGAAAUUUAUAAUUAUUUUAUAUCUUUUUUUUUAAGUUUUAAGACUUUGUAAUUAAAAUUUUAUAGGUCUACACAAAAAAUAGACCAUUUACUAUGCUUUGGGGGUACUUUUUGCAUUUAAAUGUUAGAAAAUCUAGUUUAUGGCUCAAUUCGUUGUUGUCAAUAAUAAUGAACAAGGAUGGAACUGGAGAUUGCCUUAAAAAAAAAAUUUUUGGAGAGCCAAUAUCAUUGGACAUAUAUUAAAAAAAAAAAACAAAUUUACCAACCAUCUCUCCUUAGUCAACUUACCGAGAAAAUCAUAUGGUUAAUAAAAUCGUUGUAUUGCAGUGUUUUUGCAUCAUUAAUAAAAUCGUAUAUAGUUAAGCAACAGUUUGUAACUCUCAUUUGAUAAUAAGCCUAAUCAAAUCAAACACUUGAGUGAUUAAACUUGUUCAGUUGUUUAUUUAUUUACCGAGUUUGAAAUUGUGUUCAAAUUCGAUUUAUUUUUUUCCAUUGAGCCAGACUCAAGUGAUCUUUUAUUUGGUUGAGUUCGAGUAGUUUGAAUUUUUACAUGUAAAAUUUUAAAUUUUAUGCUAAUUAAACCAAACGAGUUGAAUUUAAAAUUUUACCGAACAUAAAAUGAAGUAUCAUUUAUGUUUGACUUGAUUCGUAUUCAAAUCAAAUGGAACGAGCUCUUAUGAGUUGAACCAGAUUUGACUUUAGAGUAUCUAGUUACUUGUCUUUCAGCCCUAAGAACAUUGCUGCUGUUGUCAAAUGUCUAGUUGAAGUGAAGUAGAUAAGACAGUGAAGUACUUGUCCUGCUGACGCUUUUGAAAUCAAAUCUCUUCCGAAUACUCUCUUUUCACUUCCAACAUUUGGAUAUGCAUCUGCACACAAAUUUUUUUUUUUUUUUUGGGAGCAUAUGAACAGAAGUUGAAUCUAUCUAAAGCAAUCUCUGCAAUGAUUUUAACCAGGCAGGGCCUAAUCUUGAUUGACAUUCAGCAUUUGCAGAAGUUUAUACACAGGUAAAGAAAGAAAGAUGCUACUUGUUAUUCUCUUCUACGUUUAAUCCUUCAAGUCUUUUCAUGCUUUGAUCUUCUAGCUAUCAAUCAUGACAUCCUUAUUAGAUUGAAUCAUGCAAAGAACCUGUAACAAUGUGUAUAUGUACAUCUUCAAUUCUCAAUAGAACCAGAUUUAGAGUAUUAGACCUCUGUAGUUGACUGCAAAUCAAGACUGCAGUCCUGUGGAAACUAUUAGGACCCAAAUGCUUGAAGUAUCUUUAGACAAAACCAAGGAAACACUCCAAUACAGCCGAAUGACCGUGAUCAAGUGAAUAAAAGAGAUGUCAUAGUUGUUGUCCUUCCCUUAUUGAAAAGAUGUAAAAUUUGCCAAAAGACAGUUUAAUAUUGAACUCAAGAAGGAAGACCUAUAAAUGAGUAGAGUGGAUUGAUGGACCAUUUUAGCUUAGUGCAAUUUUGCCACUGAACUGACUUAGGCUAUGCUAACCACAGUAUUGACCUUUUGGACAUUGUGGCUUGCAGCAUUACUAUUCUUAUAGGCCAUUAUUCUGCAAAACUAGCAGACAGGUUGUGGCUUGUUGAUAGAGCUAAAUCAAGAAACAGGAGCAAAAUAUUGCUAGAAACAAAUGCUUUUCCAAUCACCCGAAUGCACUGUCUCCUGCUGUAUAUGGCCAAUGUAUGGCACCAACCAGCAAUGUCCAACAAAAAAUGCUUUGGGCGUGUAUAGAUUGCUGCAUAUCACAAAACGGAAUCGAGGUUAUCGAAUUGAAAAACAGGCGUGUUCAAGUUAAAUUACACUAAAUUCCUUGACCUCUGUUGAAGACAAGAACAUCACCUCUUGGCUUGGAUUACAUCGAUUUCCUUUCAACCUUUAUAUCAUGGUACAAAACAUAAUUAAAAUCAGCAACAAAACUUAUUCCAGAUUCCUAAAGUACCAUCAUGAAUAAUAGGAACGAAAAGAAGGGUGUCUUUUACAAAUUGAAUGAUAAGGGAAGUCAAUGUAAUUUUACAAACUGAAUAUAGAGAAGUCCCAAUCCGCAUCAGUCUAGCUAUCAAAACUCAAGGAAAUGACAGUCAAAUGGAACUUGGCAUUGUUGCAGUGAAUGGAAACAAUCAAACGAUGGCUCAAUGGGCACUAAAGGAAUAUAGUUAAGGGAAUAGUCUGAUGGAUAAUGCAGUGGCUCUCAAACUUGCAAUGAUAAAGGCAAGAGAACAACAAUGGAGGAGGAUUGAAGUGGAAAUCCCACAACUGCAGCUGUUGAAGAUGAUAGAAGCCAACAAGGGCCAAAGACAUCAGACUCUUUUCUCACUUAAGAGGAUAUUCAUGACUUAAGCUCUAUGUUUGUGGAAUGCUCAUUUGUUUUGGCUAGAAGUGAAAGCAGUAUUAGAACAACUGAUGUGUGUAAUCAUGCAUUAAGCAUAUCUUUUCAUGAGGAAUGGUUAAAUCCUCAGUGUCUUUAGACACUUGUAUAGCUCCAAUUGAGCCUUUGCUCACUAAGUGUAUAGUUCAUACACAAAUCCAAUAAAAUCAUCUAUCAUUUCCUGGAAAAAAAAAAGAUGGGCAUUUAACCCUUUUAACAUGUAUACAGUCAUCAGCCUCAGAGUACACAUUAGACUACGGAGAUUUACACAUUAGCAAGCAAAAUACGCAUACAUCAAUGGUUGAGCAAUGCAGUAAGAUAUUGAAUCAUAAUCGAUUGUAUCCAGAGCUCAUGCUUUUCAACCCCCUCAUCCUCUCUUUCAUUGUCCUCUCCAGAAGAAUCAGAUUCACUAACACUUGGUAGCUCAGGUAGUAUUUUUGCUCCUUCGAUCAGCAAAGAAAGGCUCUCAGAAUAAGUAUCCACAAAGGAUGAAUCUUUAGUUCCCCAGAUUUCGAGAUGCUUAGAUUUUUGAGUUCUUGGAUCGUGUGAAACCAACUCUCCAUUUCUUUCUGUCAACAAUAUAUCACCAUCCUUCCCAAAGCUCAACACGAUCCCCAACCCUCCUUCACAGACCACAUUGUACAUAUUACUCCAAGACUUAAAAUUCCCAUACUCUUGCAUCAACCAAAUGGAACAACUUCCACUCCAAACACGCCUAUCGUAAUGAAGAACAGCAACUGAAUCCUUGCAAGCCAAUGUGCACAAAUCUACAGGAGACUCAUCAACCAAAGCAUCAGGCAACAGCAAUUCCUCAAAAACCUCGGUACUCAAAUCAAACAACAUGAUCAAAUUUUCCUUCCCAUUCUCCCUCUCCAUAUUCAUCCUAUAUGCAGUCCAAUGUACCUUCCCUCUCACAAAUGCUUGAGUCCAAAAGUACUCAACAACCCAAUUCUCAGGUACAUCAACAUCAAUCUCCCUCCAAUUCCCUACACUUAGUGCAAAAAUCUCAACUUUCGGAGGCAAGUUAUACCCAUUACUUCCCUGAACAUAGGCAAUUCUUACAACCUUAAAAUCAUUGUUUUUCACAUCAAAUCCAAAUCCAAGCACAAACAUAAAAGGCCCCAACUUAUCAAAAACAGCUUGGGGCGAAGGUAGAGUGAAUUUCCGUCUGAUCAGAGGGUUCCAAAACAUAAUAAGAUUUGUG